GAUGAACGCUGGCGGCGUGCCUAAUACAUGCAAGUCGAGCGAACGGACGAGAAUCUUGCUUCUCUGAUGUUAGCGGCGGACGGGUGAGUAACACGUGUAUAACCUACCUAUAAGACUGGGAUAACUUCGGAAAACCGUAGCUAAUACCGGAGAAUAUUUUGAACCGCAUGGUUCAAAAGUGAGAGACGGUCUUGCUGUCACUUAUAGAUGGAUCCGCGCUGCAUUAGCUAGUUGGUAAGGUAACGGCUUACCAAGGCAACGAUGCAUAGCCGACCUGAGAGGGUGAUAGGCGACCUUGGAACUGAGACACGGUCCAGAGUCCUACGGGACGGAGCAGUAGGGUACCUUCCGCAAUGGGCGAAAGCAUGACGGAGCAAGGCCGAGUGAGUGAUGAAGGUCUUCGGAUCGUAAAAAUGUGUUAUGAGGGAAGAACAUAUGUGUACGUAACUGUGCACAUCUUGACGGUAACUAAUAAGAAAGCCACGGCUAACUACGUG
rnacentral:rRNA from 1 species